UACGAAGGGGGCUAGCGUUGCUCGGAAUCACUGGGCGUAAAGCGCACGUAGGCGGCUUUCUAAGUCAGGGGUGAAAUCCUGGAGCCCAACUCCAGAACUGCCUUUGAUACUGAGGAUCUUGAGUUCGGGAGAGGUGAGUGGAACUGCGAGUGUAGAGGUGAAAUUCGUAGAUAUUCGCAAGAACACCAGUGGCGAAGGCGGCUCACUGGCCCGGUACUGACGCUGAGGUGCGAAAGCGUGGGGAGCAAACAGG
rnacentral:rRNA from 1 species